rnacentral:rRNA from 1 species
AUUAACACAUGCAAGUCGAACGGAGAGGCCCUUCGGGGUACUCGAGUGGCGAACGGGUGAGUAACACGUGGGUGAUCUGCCCUGCACUUUGGGAUAAGCCUGGGAAACUGGGUCUAAUACCGAAUAUGAUCAUGCUCUUCAUGGGGUGUGGUGGAAAGCUUUUGCGGUGUGGGAUGGGCCCGCGGCCUAUCAGCUUGUUGGUGGGGUAAUGGCCUACCAAGGCGACGACGGGUAGCCGGCCUGAGAGGGUGACCGGCCACACUGGGACUGAGAUACGGCCCAGACUCCUACGGGAGGCAGCAGUGGGGAAUAUUGCACAAUGGGCGCAAGCCUGAUGCAGCGACGCCGCGUGAGGGAUGACGGCCUUCGGGUUGUAAACCUCUUUCAGCACAGACGAAGCGCGAGUGACGGUAUGUGCAGAAGAAGGACCGGCCAACUACGUGCCAGCAGCCGCGGUAAUACGUAGGGUCCGAGCGUUGUCCGGAAUUACUGGGCGUAAAGAGCUCGUAGGUGGUUUGUCGCGUUGUUCGUGAAAACUCACAGCUUAACUGUGGGCGUGCGGGCGAUACGGGCAGACUUGAGUACU